rnacentral:rRNA from 1 species
GUGCUUACACAUGCAAGUCGAGCGAUGAAGCACCUUCGGGUGUGAAUUAGCGGCGAACGGGUGAGGAACACGUGAGAAAUCUGCCUUCAACUCUGGGAUAACUCCGUGAAAACGGGGCUAAUACCGGAUAUGAGAUCUACAGGCAUCUGUGGAUCUGGAAAGUUUUUCGGUUGAAGAUGAUCUCGCGGCCUAUCAGCUUGUUGGUGAGGUAAUGGCUCACCAAGGCGACGACGGGUAGCCGGCCUGAGAGGGCGACCGGCCACACUGGGACUGAGACACGGCCCAGACUCCUACGGGAGGCAGCAGUGGGGAAUAUUGGGCAAUGGAGGAAACUCUGACCCAGCGACGCCGCGUGCGGGAUGAAGGCCUUCGGGUUGUAAACCGCUUUCAGCAGGGAAGAAGCGAAAGUGACGGUACCUGCAGAAGCAGCCACGGCUAACUUCGUGCCAGCAGCCGCGGUAAUACGAAGGUGGCAAGCGUUGUUCGGAUUUACUGGGCGUACAGGGAGCGUAGGCGGUUGGGUAAGCCCUCCGUGAAAUCUCCGGGCCUAACCCGGAAAGUGCGGAGGGGACUGCUCGGCUAGAGGAUGGGAGAGGAGCGCGGAAUUCCCGGUGUAGCGGUGAAAUGCGUAGAGAUCGGGAGGAAGGNCGGUGGCGAAGGCGGCGCUCUGGAACAUUUCUGACGCUGAGGCUCGAAAGCGUGGGGAGCAAACAGGAUUAGAUACCCCUGGUAGU